CUCGAUUAUUUCAGUGUAUUCCUAGGAAAGAUAAAGGAUGCAUUUGAUCGAAACCCGGAACUUCAGAACCUCCUACUGGACGACUUCUUUAAGUCAGCUGUUGAAAACUGCCAGGACUCCUGGCGGCGGGCAGUCAGCACUGGGGUCCAGGCUGGCAUUCCCAUGCCCUGUUUUACCACUGCCCUCUCCUUCUAUGACGGGUACAGACAUGAGAUGCUUCCAGCCAACCUCAUCCAGGUAAGCCUGUGGAGCAGGGGUUAACCUGGCUGGCCCCUGGGGGUCGUGCGCCAUGGACUGUCCUGACCAACCUACUCUCGUUUCCUAGGCUCAGCGGGAUUACUUCGGGGCUCACACCUAUGAACUCUUGGCCAAACCAGGGCAGUUUAUCCACACCAACUGGACAGGCCAUGGUGGCACUGUGUCAUCCUCGUCAUACAACGCCUGAUCAUGCUGCUCCUGUCACCCUCCACGAUUCCACAGACCAGGACAUUCCACAUGCCUCAU
rnacentral:sRNA from 1 species